rnacentral:rRNA from 1 species
UACGUAGGGGGCAAGCGUUGUCCGGAAUCAUUGGGCGUAAAGCGCGUGUAGGCGGCCAGAAAAGUCCGCUGUGAAAACUCGAGGCUCAACUUCGAGCUGUCGGUGGAAACCAUCUGGCUAGAGUCCGGAAGAGGAGAAUGGAAUUCCCGGUGUAGCGGUGAAAUGCGUAGAUAUCAGGAGGAACACCGGUGGUGUAGACGGCUUUCUGGACCGUAACUGACGCUGAGACACGAAAGCGUGGGUAGCAAACAGG